rnacentral:misc_RNA from 1 species
CGCAAAUACCGGUGUCAAAG